GAGAGGAAAGAAGAAAGAAAAAGUGAACAAUUUAACAAAAGGCACCCUGGCUUAUAUACAAGAGAUAAGUAAGCUCGGCACUUAUCUCUUUGUUAUAAAUGAUAAAAUAUAUAUGUAUUUUAACAGUUGUAAUAAAAACGUACUACUCCUCAAAGACCGUAAAGACUUCUAAGUGCUACCUCACUUCUGCAAGCAUAGAGCUUCAAAGGCGAUAGUUUGAAAACUUUUUCUAUCAUAGAACAUGAUGUUUGGGGGGAAAAAUCAAAAUGUGUUUUAGGAAAAAAAAUUUUUAAAAGAUUUGUAGUGUGUGUUUGUCUGUCUGUAUGUCUGUGCACUAGUGUGUCCAGGAGUCCUUAGAGACCAGAAGAGGGUGUAGGAUCCACUAAAACUAAAGUUAUAGAUGGUUGUGAGCUGCCAUGUAGGUGCUGGGAAGCAGUAAGCACUCUUAGCCACUGAGCCAGCUCUCCAGACCCUACUGUAAACUGUUUAUGGGACAGUAGCUGGAUCAGAAGGCAGAGGCGCUUAAUGCAAAAGGCCUGUCAACCUGAAUUCUAUUCCAAGACUACAAGGUAGCAGGAGAGAAGCAGUCCCUAAGACUUGUCCUAUGACUUCCACACGUGCCAUGAUGGCUGUCUCUCUGGCUGUCUCUCUCUGUGUUUCUGUCUCUCUGUCUCUCUGUCUCUCUCUGUCUGUCUCUCUCUCUCUCUCUCUCUCUCACUCCACCCCCACUCCUCUUACCCUGAUUGAAGUCACACUCACAGUUAGCUUGGCCCUUUGAACUGCAUGCAUUUAUCAUUCACUCUUCCUUCCGCCCUUCCUUAUGGAUGUCCUGGAGUGUUGAUGAUACACAGCUGAGGUCUGUGGAUGAUGUGGUGUGAUUGUGCUGUUUGCCACUGUUGGCUUCCCUUUGCUGUGAGACCAAGACAUCUAUGACAGGUCUGGAAAAUGAAGACUCUAGGUUAUAAAUAGCAUGUGUGUGAUGUGUUUUUUAGUUUUGUUUUGAGGGGGUUUUGUUUGCUUUUGAAACAAAGUCUCUCUGUAUAGCUCUAGCUGCCCUGUAGCUUCCUAUGCAGACCAGGCUGGCCUUGAACUCACAGAGAUUCACUUAGCUCUGCCUCUGAAGUGCUGGAAGUAAAGGUGCUUUGAUGAAAAUGGAUAUAUCAAAGGGUCUAGUGUGUUGUGGCUUCCAAGAGAGGAGGGAGAGAUGUUAGAGAGCUCACUGAACUUUUUCAGAAAGACUGUCAAAGAGAAGUUGUCUUAGAAACCCAAAUGCUUUUUGUCUUAAAGGAAAGGGAAAGAAAAAGAGAUAGAUUGAGCAGCCAGUGACCACUUUUCCAUUCUAAAUUUAAACUCCUGACCGUCCAUAUUUUCUGCUAAGAGUCGUAAAGAUGUUUGGUUUUGAGACAAGGUCUCACUGUAGCCCUGGCAGCUCUGGAACUCACUGAGUUGAUGGGUUGGCCUCAGACUCACAGAGACCCAUACUUGCCUCCGCAGGGAUUAUAGGCAUGAGCUGCCAUGCCUGGCUUACAGGGUGCUUUCUGACUGAAAGUUCUUGUAAGCAUAGAUGUUAAAGGCUAUGUUGAGUAGUAUGUGGGGCUCACUGAUGAUCUUUGCACUGAGAAAGCUGAGAUCAGGGGAUGUCAAGCUUGAGGACAGCCUGCUCUGUAUAGAAAUUUCCUGCUUCAGGAAGAGAAAAAUGCUACUUUGAAAAUGCAGCUAUUUUAGUGAAUUUUAAGUGUUUUGGUGGGCUGGCGAGAUGGCUCAGCGGGUAAGAGAACUGACUGCUCUUCCAAAGGUCCUGAGUUCAAAUCCCAGCAACCACAUGGUGGUUCACAACCAUCUGUAAUGAGAUCUGGUGCCCUCUUCUGGAGUGUCUGAAGACAGCUACAGUGUACUUAACAUAUAAUAAAUAAAUAAAUCUUUUAAAAAAAAGCUUCAUUGCAUCGCUCCUCUACUUUCUCUGGCUUACAACUUGCCCCCUAUUCCUUCUGCUCUAAGCCAGCUGUUAAAGUAUCUAUCACUAAAAGAGAUGAAGCAAGUCACAAAAACCGGAAUACUAUUAAAAAUAAAAAGGUGUUUUGGUUUUCAUUUUUACAUAGGACCAUGGGGAGGAAGAAGGGGGCUGGUAUUUAGUCAGAGCCUGCAGUGCUUUCCCAGUGUAACAGUGAAUAAAUGCAGGCCCCUCGCAGAUCCCUCACAACCCCAUGUCAAAGUUAAGAAACUGCUGUUGAGAUGCAGUGUUAGCUAGCUCAGGAGCUUUGUCUUGUUCAAAUAAGAUUGUUAACAUUUUUAACUCCAUAUUUUAUUUGACAGAGGUUUUAGAGCCAGUGAGACAGCUCAACAGGUAAAAGCAACCACUACACAGUGACCUAAAUUCAAGCCCUAGACCUGUGGGAAAGGGAGAGAACCAAGUCCUGAAAGUUGUCCUCUGACCUCCACACGCACACGGGGACUUGUGUGCCUGCAUUCACACACACCCCCCAUCUCUCCCUCCCUCCCUCUCUCUCUCUCUUUCUCUCUCUCUCUCCUCUCUCUCUCUCUCUCAUACACACAUAUAAAAUUUGUUAAAUCUUAGUUCACCAGAGUCCUUCAGCUGUGUUGAAGACAAGCUCACUCGUGUUUUGCUUUUUACAGUAUAAACGUCAUGAAACAGCUCAUUGGUUCGUCUAACUUAUUUGUGAUGCAAGUGGAGAUGGAUGUAUAUACAGCUCUUAAAAAGGUAUUGAUGUAUGAAUAUAAGAAAUUACUUC
rnacentral:lncRNA from 1 species